CUCUGUCGUCUCCUCUGUGCUGGCUUCCUCAAUUCUAGAAGCCAGGCAAUGUAUUGGUCCCAAUGUCAACAAGGCCACUCUCGACUUGAUCAAAGAAUUUGAGGGCUUUGUACCGAGGCCCGAGCCUGAUCCUAUCGGACUUCCCACAGUGGGAUAUGGUCAUCUCUGCAAGACCAAGGGAUGUAAGGAGGUCAAGUUCCCGUUGAGCAAGGAAACCGCAACAACCUUGUUGAAGAAAGAUCUCAGGAGUUUCCAACAAGCUAUCACCCUGUCAACUAAGACAGCUGUGAAACUCAAUGCAAACCAGUACGGCGCCCUCGUAUCGUGGGCAUACAACGUUGGGCCCAAUGCUGCCCGGUCCUCCAGCUUGAUUAGCAGGCUCAACAAGGGUGAAGAUCCUAACAAAGUAAUUGCUCAAGAGCUGCCUAAGUGGAGAUUGGCUGGUGGUAAAGUCUUCAAGGGACUUGUUCGAAGGCGCAAGGCGGAGGUAAAAUUGGCCAAAACUCCAAC
rnacentral:sRNA from 2 species